AAACUACAGCGUGAGAACUACAUAAGUUUGAGUUCUCUCUCAUUCUGCUCUCUUUGCACUGGCAAGGGAAGACCUUCAUGGGCGACUCCGGCAUUUGUCGUGAAGAGAACAACUUCCAUGGAAGCUACUGGAGGCUGAGUUCUACCAAAUUGAGGGAAUAAACCAACAGAGAAGACCUGGCAAACCAAAAUAGUAUUUCCGACCCACCAGAGAGAUAAAGGAAUACCCAUCCUGAGCUCUGGAUGUGUCCUCUGAGAAAGUACCCGUGACACAGAUCACACGGGACACCAACGCAGAUGCUGGGGGAAGGUUCCUCGACAGCUGAGUGUGGACAUGCUGAUCACUGAGCUUCUUGACACACAGCUGUUAAUCUCUCCUCUCAAGCUCAUGGAGGCUGAAGCUGCCUCCAAACAUUGAGACGUGCCACGCCAACUCACGGCAAGGUCUCUAUUAUUGAGA